AAACCAACUGGGAUUACCUUAGUAACGGCGAGUGAAGCGGUAAAAGCUCAAAUUUGAAAUCUGGUACUUUCAGUGCCCGAGUUGUAAUUUGUAGAAUUUGUCUUUGAUUAGGUCCUUGUCUAUGUUCCUUGGAACAGGACGUCAUAGAGGGUGAGAAUCCCGUUUGGCGAGGAUACCUUUUCUCUGUAAGACUUUUUCGAAGAGUCGAGUUGUUUGGGAAUGCAGCUCAAAGUGGGUGGUAAAUUCCAUCUAAAGCUAAAUAUUGGCGAGAGACCGAUAGCGAACAAGUACAGUGAUGGAAAGAUGAAAAGAACUUUGAAAAGAGAGUGAAAAAGUACGUGAAAUUGUUGAAAGGGAAGGGCAUUUGAUCAGACAUGGUGUUUUUUGCAUGCACUCGCCUCUCGUGGGCUUGGGCCUCUCAAAAAUUUCACUGGGCCAACAUCAAUUCUGGCAGCAGGAUAAAUCAUUAAGAAUGUAGCUACUCUGUAGUGUUAUAGCUUUUUGGAAUACUGUUAGCCGGGAUUGAGGACUGCGCUUCGGCAAGGAUGUUGGCAUAAUGGUUAAAUGCCGC
rnacentral:rRNA from 1 species